rnacentral:rRNA from 1 species
AUUGAACGCUGGCGGCAGGCUUAACACAUGCAAGUCGAGCGGUAACAGAGAGAAGCUUGCUUCUCUGCUGACGAGCGGCGGACGGGUGAGUAAUGCCUAGGAAUUUGCCUAGUAGUGGGGGAUAACUUGCCGAAAGGUAAGCUAAUACCGCAUACGUCCUACAGGAGAAAGGAGGGGACCUUCGGGCCUUUCGCUAUUAGAUGAGCCUAGGUCGGAUUAGUUCGUUGGUGAGGUAAUGGCUCACCAAGACCGCGAUCCGUAACUGGUCUGAGGGGAUGGUUAGUCACACUGGAACUGAGACACGGUCCAGACUCCUACGGGAGGCAGCAGUGGGGAAUAUUGGACAAUGGGGGGAACCCUGAUCCAGCCAUGCCGCGUGUGUGAAGAAGGUCUUAGGAUUGUAAAGCACUUUAAGUUGGGAGGAAGAGCAGUUAACUAAUAUUUGACUGUUUUGACGUUACCGACAGAAUAAGCACCGGCUAACUUCGUGCCAGCCGCCGCCGUAA